AAACCGCAUAAAGGUAAACGGGUGGCGUCAAGCUGCUAGCCUGGAGGAUUCAGCUGGUCAUUUUGUGGGGUAUACGUCCUGUGUAUCGCAGUCGGGGAUAGUGAGUAGUCUGCUGGCAAACGGCAGGCCUGGUCGCAAGGCUAGGAUGUACGAUCCACGUGUUUGGUGGUGUACGCUGCUCGGCUAUUGGACUGGAUGGCCGGUGCACUUCCUCCAUUAAGGUGAACACCACGACCGGUGGAACUGCCAGUCUGGUAUAGCCAAGUUGUGUCUAUUUCGGCAUUCGUGCGGAUUAGGCUCAAUCACAGGCAGAUUCGGUGGACGGUGAGUAGACUCACGGGUUUGCUCAUGUUAUCGGUCACUGGCUGUCAACGGGUUUGUCCGCUGAGGUUGCAGUCCUUGGUGGGUGGCCUGGUGGGCUAUUCUGGUAAGAAUAACUGUGCAGGGCACCGGAGUUGUCGGUCUCUAAUCCGGUUGASACGCGCGCUGCAGGUGUGUGUGGAGGUGCCAUUUCGGCCUUUCGUUGCUUGAGUCUGAUUGCCGUGUCGCCUGCGAAAAGUAGGUCCGGUAGUGGCUCGACUACGGUCGGUGCAUGAAGUGGUGCUUCUCUGUCAGUCGGUGUGGACCCAAYAGUCUGUGGUGUAGUGGUAGACGAGCUACCCGACCCGUCUUGAAACACGG
rnacentral:rRNA from 1 species